CCUACGGGUGGCUGCAGUGAGGAAUAUUGGUCAAUGGGCGCUAGCCUGAACCAGCCAAGUAGCGUGAAGGAUGACUGCCCUAUGGGUUGUAAACUUCUUUUAUAUGGGAAUAAAGUGCAGUAUGUAUACUUCUUUGCAUGUACCUUAUGAAUAAGGAUCGGCUAACUCCGUGCCAGCAGCCGCGGUAAUACGGAGGAUCCGAGCGUUAUCCGGAUUUAUUGGGUUUAAAGGGAGCGUAGACGGGUUGUUAAGUCAGUUGUGAAAGUUUGCGGCUCAACCGUAAAAUUGCAUUUGAUACUGGCAGCCUUGAGUACAGUAGAGGUAGGCGGAAUUCGUGGUGUAGCGGUGAAAUGCUUAGAUAUCACGAAGAACUCCGAUUGCGAAGGCAGCUUGCUGGACUGUCACUGACGCUGAUGCUCGAAAGUGUGGGUAUCAAACAGGAUUAGAUACCCUAGUAGUC
rnacentral:rRNA from 1 species